rnacentral:rRNA from 1 species
AACGAACGCUGGCGGCAUGCCUAACACAUGCAAGUCGAACGAGACCUUCGGGUCUAGUGGCGCACGGGUGCGUAACGCGUGGGAACCUGCCCUUAGGUUCGGACUAACUCUCCGACAGGGGUGCUAACACCGGAUAAUGUCUUCGGACCAAAGAUUUAUCGCCUCUGGUUGGGCCCUCGUUGGAUUAGCUAGUUGGUAGGGUAAAAGCCUACCAAGGCGACGAUCCAUAGCUGGUCUGAGAGGAUGAUCAGCCACACUGGGACUGAGACGCGGCCCAGACUCCUACGGGAAGCAGCAGUGGGGAAUGUUGGACAAUGGGCGAAAGCCUGAUCCAGCAAGGCCGCGUGAGUGAUGAAGGCCUUAGGGUUGUAAAGCUCUUUUACCCGGGAUGAUAAUGACAGUACCGGGAGAAUAAGCUCCGGCUAACUCCGUG